rnacentral:lncRNA from 1 species
UCAAUUCAAAAUAUCAAAAAAAAUCAUCAAAAAAUAUAUAAUUCAAUUAAUAAUGAUUUAAUUACUAAUUAAAUAAAGAAAAUAAAACGGAAAUUAUCAAAGAGGGGUCAAAGCAUCAGACAAAAGUCCAACAAAAAUGUGAGAGGUCAACAAAAACAAGAGUGAAUGGACCUCAAAAGUUGGGGUUAAAAAUAUUUAAAAAUGAAAAAAGCAAACUAAAUG